GCCGUGAGGUGUUAGGUUAAGUCCUGCAACGAGCGCAACCCUUACACAUAGUUGCCAGCAUGUAAAGAUGGGGACUCUAUGUGAACUGCCUACGCAAGUAGAGAGGAAGGUGGGGAUGACGUCAAAUCAGCACGGCCCUUAUGUUCGGGGCUACACACGUGCUACAAUGGCAUGUACAGAGGGCAGCCACCAUGCGAAUGGGAGCCAAUCCUCAAAACAUGUCUCAGUUCGGAUUGGAGUCUGUAACUCGACUCUAUGAAGUUGGAUUCGCUA
rnacentral:rRNA from 1 species